rnacentral:rRNA from 2 species
UACGUAGGUGGCAAGCGUUAUCCGGAUUUAUUGGGCGUAAAGAGAGUGCAGGCGGUUUUCUAAGUCUGAUGUGAAAGCCUUCGGCUUAACCGGAGAAGUGCAUCGGAAACUGGAUAACUUGAGUGCAGAAGAGGGUAGUGGAACUCCAUGUGUAGCGGUGGAAUGCGUAGAUAUAUGGAAGAACACCAGUGGCGAAGGCGGCUACCUGGUCUGCAACUGACGCUGAGACUCGAAAGCAUGGGUAGCGAACAGG